rnacentral:rRNA from 1 species
CCUACGGGCGGCAGCAGUCGAGAAUCAUUCACAAUGGGGGAAACGCUGAUGGUGCGACGCCGCGUGGGGGAAUGAAGGUCUUCGGAUUGUAAACCUCUGUCAUGUGGGAGCAAAGUAAAAAGAUAGUACCACAAGAGGAAGAGACGGCUAACUCUGUUCCAGCAGCAGCGGUAAUACAGAGGUCUCAAGCGUUGUUCGGAAUCACUGGGCGUAAAGCGUGCGGAGGCGGUUUCGUAAGUCGUGUGUGAAAGGCGCGGGCUCAACCCGCGGCCGGCGGAUGAUACUGCGAGACUAGAGUACUGGAGGGGGACGCGGAAUGCUCGGUGUAGCAGUGAAAUGCGUAGAUA